rnacentral:rRNA from 1 species
UACGUAGGGCGCAAGCGUUAUCCGGAAUUAUUGGGCGUAAAGAGCUCGUAGGCGGUUUGUCGCGUCUGCUGUGAAAACCUAAGGCUCAACCUUGGGCUUGCAGUGGGUACGGGCAGACUAGAGUGCGGUAGGGGUGACUGGAAUUCCUGGUGUAGCGGUGGAAUGCGCAGAUAUCAGGAGGAACACCGAUGGCGAAAGGCAGGUCACUGGGCCGCAACUGA